GAUGAAGAACGUAGCGAAAUGCGAUAAGUAGUGUGAAUUGCAGAAUUCAGUGAAUCAUCGAAUCUUUGAACGCACAUUGCGCCCGCUAGUAUUCUGGCGGGCAUGCCUGUCCGAGCGUCAUUUCAACCCUCAAGCCCCCGGGCUUGGUGUUGGGGAUCGGCGAGCCUCCGCGCCCGUCGUCCCCUAAAUCUAGUGGCGGUCUCGCUGUAGCUUCCUCUGCGUAGUAGCACACCUCGCACUGGGAAACAGCGCGGCCACGCCGUUAAACCCCAACUUCUGAACGUUUGACCUCGGAUCAGGUAGGAAUACCCGCUGAACUUAAGCAUAUCAAUAAGCGGAGGA
rnacentral:misc_RNA from 1 species